rnacentral:rRNA from 1 species
AUGAAGGUCCGUAUCAUGGGUCCUAACUUUGUUCCUGGCCAGAAGAAGGAUUUUUCAUCACCAAGAAAUGCAACCCUGACAAAUGAGAAGGAAGUUGAUGCCUGCCCAAUCAGGGCAAUGAAGUUCUCUGUGUCCCCUGUUGUGCGUGUUGCUGUUCAGUGCAAGGUGGCUUCUGAUCUUCCUAAGCUUGUUGAGGGUUUGAAGCGGCUAGCAAAGUCUGACCCUAUGGUUCUUUGUAGCAUUGAAGAUUCUGGUGAGCAUAUCAUUGCUGGAGCUGGAGAGCUUCACCUUGAAAUCUGUUUGAAGGAUCUGCAGGAGGAUUUCAUGGGUGGUGCUGAAAUUAUUGUUUCACCUCCUGUAGAUAACUAA